rnacentral:rRNA from 1 species
CCUACGGGUGGCAGCAGUGAGGAAUAUUUGUCAAUGGACGCAAGUCUGAACCAGCCAUGCCGCGUGCAGGAAGACGGCUCUAUGAGUUGUAAACUGCUUUUGUACGAGGGUAAACGCAGAUACGCGUAUCUAUCUGAAAGUAUCGUACGAAUAAGGAUCGGCUAACUCCGUGCCAGCAGCCGCGGUAAUACGGAGGAUUCAAGCGUUAUCCGGAUUUAUUGGGGUUAAAGGGUGCGUAGGCGGGCGGUUAAGUCAGAGGUGAAAGCCCGGGGCUCAACUUCGGAAUUGCCUCUGAUACUGGUCGGCUAGAGAGUAGUUGAGGUAGGCGGAAUGUAUGGUGUAGCGGUGAAAUGCUUAGAGAUCAUACAGAACACCGAUUGCGAAGGCAGCUUACCAAGCUACUUCUGACGUUGAGGCACGAAAGCGUGGGGAGCAAACAGGAUUAGAUACCCGUGUAGUC